GGCAGGCCUAACACAUGCAAGUCGAGCCGCUUCCCUUCGGGGAGGAGCGGCGGACGGGUUAGUAACGCGUGGGAAUAUACCCAGUUCUAAGGAAUAGCCACUGGAAACGGUGAGUAAUACCUUAUACGCCCUUCGGGGGAAAGAUUUAUCGGAAUUGGAUUAGCCCGCGUUAGAUUAGAUAGUUGGUGGGGUAAUGGCCUACCAAGUCUACGAUCUAUAGCUGGUUUGAGAGGAUGAUCAGCAACACUGGGACUGAGACACGGCCCAGACUCCUACGGGAGGCAGCAGUAGGGAAUCUUAGACAAUGGGGGCAACCCUGAUCUAGCCAUGCCGCGUGUGUGAUGAAGGCCCUAGGGUCGUAAAGCACUUUCGCCAGAGAUGAUAAUGACAGUAUCUGGUAAAGAAACCCCGGCUAACUCCGUGCCCACAGCCGCGGUAAUAC
rnacentral:rRNA from 1 species